rnacentral:rRNA from 1 species
UGACCUCAGCUUAGACGAGACUACCCGCUAAACUUAAGCAUAUUGUUA